UACAGAGGUCCCGAGCGUUGUUCGGAUUCACUGGGCGUAGGGUGCGUAGGUGGUGAGGUAAGUCGGAUGUGAAAUCUCCAAGCUCAACUUGGAAACUGCAUUGGAAACUACCUUGCUAGAGGAUUUGAGGGGGGAUUGGAAUACUUGGUGUAGCAGUGAAAUGCGUAGAUAUCAAGAGGAACACCUGUGGCGAAGGCGGGUUGCUGGGCCGACACUGACGCUGAGGCGCGAAAGCUAGGGGAGCGAACGGG
rnacentral:rRNA from 1 species